GAUGAACGCUGGCGGCGUGCCUAAUACAUGCAAGUCGAGCGAACGGACGAGAAGCUUGCUUCUCUGAUGUUAGCGGCGGACGGGUGAGUAACACGUGGAUAACCUACCUAUAAGACUGGGAUAACUUCGGGAAACCGGAGCUAAUACCGGAUGAUAUUUUGAACCGCAUGGUUCAAAAGUGAAAGACGGUCUUGCUGUCACUUAUAGAUGGAUCCGCGCUGCAUUAGCUAGUUGGUAAGGUAACGGCUUACCAAGGCAACGAUGCAUAGCCGACCUGAGAGGGUGAUCGGCCACACUGGAACUGAGACACGGUCCAGACUCCUACGGGAGGCAGCAGUAGGGAAUCUUCCGCAAUGGGCGAAAGCCUGACGGAGCAACGCCGCGUGAGUGAUGUAGGUCUUCGGAUCGUAAAACUCUGUUAUUAGGGAAGAACAUAUGUGUAAGUAACUGUGCACAUCUUGACGGUACCUAAUCAGAAAGCCACGGCUAACUACGUG
rnacentral:rRNA from 1 species